UGCCAUCAUCGCUGCAUUGCAGGAACGGAUGCACAUGUGCCAACACAAUAACACAAGAAAGAAGUGCGUAUCCUUUCUUUUUUACCAAGAACAAGUGUGUAUCACAUGGGCGGAGCGAGAAAAAAAGUCAAAAAAAAGACAUUUAGAUAUUUUUAAAAAGCUCUAACUUAAAUCAGAGGGACAUCAAUGGUGAAAACCUAACAUUUGUACCAGUGAAUCAAAAUUGAGUGGGAACAUUAGGCCCAUUAGGCCCCAUGGCUUAGAUCAGCCAUGCAUAAACAUGGUCAAGGAAGAAGUGCAUGCACAAUGUAAAACCAAACACUACAUGUAUACUGCACAUG
rnacentral:lncRNA from 1 species